UACGAAGGGGGCUAGCGUUGCUCGGAAUUACUGGGCGUAAAGCGCACGUAGGCGGCUCUUUAAGUCGGAGGUGAAAUCCUGGAGCUCAACUCCAGAACUGCCUUCGAUACUGAAGAGCUCGAGUCCGGGAGAGGUGAGUGGAACUGCGAGUGUAGAGGUGAAAUUCGUAGAUAUUCGCAAGAACACCAGUGGCGAAGGCGGCUCACUGGCCCGGUACUGACGCUGAGGAGCGAAAGCGUGGGGAGCGAACAGG
rnacentral:rRNA from 1 species